rnacentral:snRNA from 1 species
AACCUUGCGCGGUGGCAAUGUCGUAACCAAUGAAGGUUUCCUGAGGUGCGAUUAUUGCUAGUUGAAAACUCGGUAGCGGAGCGGAUAGAGGCGAAACCUGCGAAGCUAAUAUGUAUUGUGGUACUGGGUUCGAUUCCCGGUCUCUAGGCC